rnacentral:lncRNA from 1 species
UUAAGGAGCUAGAGUAGGACAGCAUCCAGGACAACUUUGUCAUUGCCUAGGAGUUACUGAACAAGCUCAUUGACUUAGGCUUCUAGCAGACCACCAACAGCAAGAUCCUGCAGGAGUACACCACACAGCAGAGCAACAAGCUGCAAAGGGGCAAGUCAAAGGUGCCACUCACCAUCAACAACGCUGUGUCCUGGUGCUCCGAGCGCAUCAAGUACAAGAAGAACGAGGUCUUCAUUGAUGUUAUAGAGUCUGCCAACCUGCUGGUCAAUGCCAAAGGCAGCAUUUUGCUGAGUGAGAUCUUUGGCACCAUCAAGCUCAAGGUGUUUCUGUCGGGAAUGCCAGAGCUGCGGCUGGGCCUCAAUGACUCCAUGCUCUUCGAGCUCACUGGCUGCCACAAAAACAAAUUGGUAAAGCUGGAGGAUGUAAAAUUCCAGCAUGUUGCUCUCGUGCUUUGGCAAUGACCACACCAUCUCGCCCAUUGAUGACUUUGAGCUCAGAUACUACUGCCUCAGCACCCAGGUCUAGCCACUGACCUGGAUUGACUCUGUCCUUGGGAAGUUCUCCCACAGCCUUGUGGAGAUCAUUGUCACCAAGAGGCAGUUUAAGAAACAGUCAGUGGCCAAUAGUGUGGAGAUGUCUGUACCCAUACCCAACGAUGCCGACUCCCCGCACCUGAAGACCAGCGUGUGCAGCGCCAAGUAUGUGCUGGAGAAAAACAUCGUUAUUUGAAGUAUUAAGUCCUUCCGAGGGGGCAAGGAGUACCUGAUGUGAGCCUACUUUGGCCUCCCUAGAGUGGAGAAAAAGGAGGUGGAGGGCCGGCCCCUUAUUAGGGUCAAGUUUGAGAUCCCCUACUCCACGGUCUCUGGGAUCCAGGUCUGAUAUAUGAAGAUCAUCGAGAAAAGAGGUUAUCAGGUCUUGCCCUGGCUUCCCUACAUCACGCAGAGUGGUCAUUAGGAACUUCCUACCAA